UAAAACAGGCUCUAAACCAUUUUUUUGUCCAACCGGUUGCUCAUUUUUGGUGGCAGGAAGACUACAAUCUACCUGAACAACUGUAACAUUUUGCAUCUCGCAAAAGGCUUUAUGGAGUACACAGCUGUGAAAUAUGAGAUCAUGCCAUCACUGCCUCGAGGAUAUCAUGCAGCACUGCCAGUAUCAGACAACAGGAUGCUGGUCAGUGGAGGUUGUAGUGCUAUUGGUGCCUUGCAGGACAUCCAUAUCUUCAACGUGGGUUCUUUUCAGACACCAGUAUGUGGAGUUCAAUGGUAUUCCCUUUGCUCUGCGCCAAGCCUCGUGCCGGACACAGCAUGAACAACCUGGGAGGUUCUGUCCUCCCAAGCACUGUCAAACAGAAGCAGGGCGAGCAUACCAACACCCACAGCACUCUGCUGGUGUUUGGGGGCUCAGACUGCGCCGCCGGGAUCUUCUUCAAUGACCCAGUGAAGUGCACAGUGGAGAUCCCUGGAGAUAAGAGACGGGACCUUAAGGAGAGACUAUAACAGCCUUAUGGGGAAUAAGGGGGAAAAAUUUGACUUUAUAUCCGUGUCUGACUUACAAAUUCUGAAUGAUAUGAGUGAAUGUAUCAUGGGCAGAACUAAUACAGGGACUGUUGAGUCCUUUUUAUUUGCUCUUCUGUGUAAUGGCUCUGUUACAUUAGGCUUGGAUGUAAUUAAAUCUUCAGUAACAGUUUUAUUGUGGCCACUGAAGGCUGUAGUCUAGCCUGAUUUGCUCUUUUCUGUUGAUUGUCAGUUAUGGUGCAAGUUAUGCCUUUUUAAUCACACUGUUGUCAGGUGUCUGACAUUACAUUAUGGGUUGUUAACUUUUUUAUAUUGAUUUUUAAGUGCCAUUCUCCCCAUCUGAGAAAUGGUAUAGGCACCAGAUCUAACAAACAACAUCUCUCCUGUGUUCUAGAUAUUUUCUCACCAAUGUGUGUUGAAAGAAAAUAACUUUCUAUUUAAUUUACAUUUUUUAAGCAUGGGUUAAUUAACUGCUGCAUGAUAUUAGUUGAACUUCAACUAUUUUACUAAACUUAUUAUUAAACAAAGAGCAGACAGCCAUUUCCACUUUCCUCAUGUGUAUACCAGUGGGCUGGUAUUGGUGUACUUUCAUGUUGUCUAUUGUAUUUAUCUUCACAAAUCCACUAUGUUCCAAUGUCAUGUUGAGCAUAUGUCAAGAUGGGGGAACAUGCUGUAUCAGAGGUUAAAAUGUACAUAUUCAAACUCAACUACUCAUCAUACAAGUAAUACAUGGUCUUAACCCAAACAUUC